AGUGAACGCUGGCGGUAGGCCUAACACAUGCAAGUCGAACGGCAGCACAGUAAGAGCUUGCUCUUACGGGUGGCGAGUGGCGGACGGGUGAGGAAUACAUCGGAAUCUACUUUUUCGUGGGGGAUAACGUAGGGAAACUUACGCUAAUACCGCAUACGACCUACGGGUGAAAGCAGGGGAUCUUCGGACCUUGCGCGAUUGAAUGAGCCGAUGUCGGAUUAGCUAGUUGGCGGGGUAAAGGCCCACCAAGGCGACGAUCCGUAGCUGGUCUGAGAGGAUGAUCAGCCACACUGGAACUGAGACACGGUCCAGACUCCUACGGGAGGCAGCAGUGGGGAAUAUUGGACAAUGGGCGCAAGCCUGAUCCAGCCAUACCGCGUGGGUGAAGAAGGCCUUCGGGUUGUAAAGCCCUUUUGUUGGGAAAGAAAAGCAGCAGGUUAAUACCCCGCUGUUCUGACGGUACCCAACGAAUAAGCACCAGCUAACUUCGUG
rnacentral:rRNA from 1 species